GGAUUAGCUUGCUAAUCGCUGACGAGUGGCGGACGGGUGAGUAAUGCUUGGGAACUUGCCUUCGGGAGGGGGAUAACAGUUGGAAACGACUGCUAAUACCGCAUAACGUCUACGGACCAAAGGGGGCUUUUAGCUCCUACCUGAAGAGAGGCCCAAGUGAGAUUAGCUAGUUGGUAAGGUAAAGGCUUACCAAGGCGACGAUCUCUAGCUGUUCUGAGAGGAAGAUCAGCCACACUGGGACUGAGACACGGCCCAAACUCCUACGGGAGGCAGCAGUGGGGAAUAUUGCACAAUGGGGGAAACCCUGAUGCAGCCAUGCCGCGUGUGUGAAGAAGGCCUUCGGGUUGUAAAGCACUUUCAGUUGUGAGGAAAGGUUGGUAGUUAAUACCUGCCAGCUGUGACGUUAACAACAGAAGAAGCACCGGCUAACUCCGUGCCAGCAGCCGCGGUAAUACGGAGGGUGCGAGCGUUAAUCGGAAUUACUGGGCGUAAAGCGCACGCAGGCGGUUUGUUAAGCUAGAUGUGAAAGCCCCGGGCUCAA
rnacentral:rRNA from 1 species